rnacentral:lncRNA from 1 species
CACGGUGUUCGUCUAACUUCCAACAAUACAGCACUUGCUCCGACCAAAUAUUUGCCAGCUCUUCCCCGCAUAAGCUGUUCACAAGUUUGGGAACUUCGCACUGUACUCCUGCGCGGUCUGCACAAAGCAAAAGGGGAAAUGUUUUGAAACGAGGAUUAGAAAAUAGGAACAAGUUAAUCCAUUAGCAAGACAAGGUGGUAUCGAGAAAAAUAUAUGGUCACAUUACCAUAAAUGUUGCUGUAAUCAUUUUGCCGGCAAACCAUCUUCCAUGAAGUGCUUGUUGGGCC